CACUUUGACAGCAUACCAUCUUGAUCGAUUUAUCAGAUUUGAAGUUCAUCCGAUUUGGGUUUUAUAUCACGUUCCUGUCUUGUUUUAAUUGUUGGGUAUUGUAAGCGGGAUUGAUUGAAAUUGCAGGUUAGGCAGAUUUGUGGUUUGUGACUUAUCACACAUAAGCUUGUGCGAUUUGGUAUUCCUUGUUCAUCAAUCUUACCCAGUCAUCCGUAUUCAAGGUGAUUCUCGAUCACAGUUUCCAGGUUCAUGACUGUCAAGGUACUAGUUGUGGAACAUUAGAGCAGCUGAACUUGCAAUCAAGUUUUGGUUGUAAUUUUUCUGGCACUCCAAGGUUUGCAUCAAAAGUUGGCUCCAGAAAGAGAUUGAUUAUUUAUAGUAGUCAUUGUCAUAAUUCAAGUAAAAUUGCUAAAGGUGAACUGGAUGGUUGUUUGAGGAGUUCUAGCAGGCAAAGGUCUGUUCAUUACACAAGAUUGGAAGGUACAUUUACCAAUGGAACCGGGAAGACAGCAUUGAUUGAUAACUCAAUUCAUACAAGUAAUGGCUCUUUUGCUGCUUCUAUCAAGAGAAUUUUAGGAGGUUUUAUCAGCCGGCGAACUACUGACGGUGUGGAGAAGCUCAAUCUCAAUCUUGCAAAGCCUGUUAUUUUCAGAUCACUGCAGGCUGUUCUUCAAGAUUCUGAUGAUCAUAGUGUUUCUGUAUUUGGUUUUUAGUUUUGAAAUCUGUUGAAGUGUAAAUCGUGU